AAACGUCCGUAGCCGGUUUGGUACAUUCGUGGGUAAAUCAACCCGCUCAACGUCUUGAAUUCUGCGAGCACGGGCAGACUUGGGACCGGGAGAGGUGUGGGGUACUCUCAGGGUAGGGGUAAAAUCCUGUCAUCCUGAGAGGACCACCUGUUGCGAAGGCGCCACACUAGAACGGAUCCGACGGUCAGGGACGAAGCCUAGGGGCACGAACCGGAUUAAAUACCCGGGUAGUCCUAGGUGUAAACGCUGUGGACUUGAUGUUGGGAGUGCUCCGAGCACCCUCAGUGUCCAAGCGAAAGUGAUAAGUCCACUGCCUGGGGAGUACGGUCGCAAGGCUGAAACUUAAAGGAAUUGGC
rnacentral:rRNA from 1 species